rnacentral:rRNA from 2 species
CAGUCGAACGAACUCUGGUAUUGAUUGGUGCUUGCAUCAUGAUUUACAUUUGAGUGAGUGGCGAACUGGUGAGUAACACGUGGGAAACCUGCCCAGAAGCGGGGGAUAACACCUGGAAACAGAUGCUAAUACCGCAUAACAACUUGGACCGCAUGGUCCGAGUUUGAAAGAUGGCUUCGGCUAUCACUUUUGGAUGGUCCCGCGGCGUAUUAGCUAGAUGGUGGGGUAACGGCUCACCAUGGCAAUGAUACGUAGCCGACCUGAGAGGGUAAUCGGCCACAUUGGGACUGAGACACGGCCCAAACUCCUACGGGAGGCAGCAGUAGGGAAUCUUCCACAAUGGACGAAAGUCUGAUGGAGCAACGCCGCGUGAGUGAAGAAGGGUUUCGGCUCGUAAAACUCUGUUGUUAAAGAAGAACAUAUCUGAGAGUAACUGUUCAGGUAUUGACGGUAUUUAACCAGAAAGCCACGGCUAACUACGUGCCAGCAGCCGCGGUAAUACGUAGGUGGCAAGCGUUGUCCGGAUUUAUUGGGCGUAAAGCGAGCGCAGGCGGUUUUUUAAGUCUGAUGUGAAAGCCUUCGGCUCAACCGAAGAAGUGCAUCGGAAACUGGGAAACUU